UGAUGUGGCAAUCUGGCUGCCACAUCUGUCACCCCAUUGGUCAUGAGGUUUAUUCGGCUGAUCUGGCUGGCUAGUCAAUGUCCCCUUCCUCCCUCACAGCUCCAUUUGUGUCCCUCCUGAAUCUGUAAGUUCAGUCAAAGAGGACGACCUUCCCCGAAUAGAGGAGGGAGGACUUGUCUUCGGUCAAAGGUAUAUCAGUAGCUGCGCUAGCCCUGCUAGAACCUCCAAACAAGCUCUAAGGUCUCCUUGAUCUUAAGAAGCAGAAACCAUAGCAAUAGCUUCUUUCUUAUUCUGGACUUUUCCA
ensembl:misc_RNA 7SK 7SK RNA